rnacentral:rRNA from 1 species
GGUUGAUCCUGCCAGUAGUCAUAUGCUUGUCUCAAAGAUUAAGCCAUGCAUGUGUAAGUAUAAGUAUUGUACAGCGAAACUGCGAAUGGCUCAUUAAAACAGUUAUAAUUUACAUGAUAAUCGAAGUUACAUGGAUAACCGUGACAAAUUACAGCUAAUACAUGCGUUAAGACCUGGUCAAGGGUCGUAAUUAUUAGAUAUCAGACCAAUUCCUCCGGGAGUGUGACGAAUCAUAGUAAUCGAACGAAUCGCAGAAUUCUGCGAUAAAUCAUUCAAGUUUCUGCCCUAUCAG